CAGUGGGGUGUGGUGGCGGGCAGACAGUGGGAAACCUAGUGGGGACUUUGACCUUUCCCAAGCCACAGGGACCCAGGAAAACGGACUCGCCCACACUUUCGGGUGGGAUUUCUCACCGUUUACGAUCUGCCCCUUUCUCUUUAGAACAUGUCAUUAUGUCACACAAGAUGUAUUCAUAUUUCUUCCUGUUGAAGUGUCUGCCGUACCUGUUAGAAAUCACCUGUUGCAACAUACUAGAGAAAGAGAAAUGCAGAAAUAGAAUCAUAAUCACCAGUUUUCAUUAAAACACAGCGUGCGCCUUGUGCUUCUGACGCGGUUGGUGGCCUCACCGUCACUCUGCAUGGCAAAUGUUUUCAUUCGCGUUUUAUAGAAGGUGAAACAGAGAGGUCGGUGCCUCGUCCGAGCUCACAUAGCUGCUCGUGGCAGGCCCCCAGCACACCCUGCCCCGCGGUCCCUCUGUCUGUCUGCACAGCCACUGGCUUUGCUCCCUCCGGCAACAGAGGGCCUACAGCCAUGGUAACCGUGUGUUUUGGAUUUUUCAGUACAAUACUGACUUCAAAUAUUUUCUCUCAGGGCCAACUGAAUGGCAGAUAAUGGAUCCUAAUUGUCUGGAAAAUGUGACCCAACAUCACACUUCCAGUCCCGACUCAAAUCGUCUCCAAAGCAGUGAAGGAGGCCAUGGGAAGACAGGCCCCAUGAGAAAGCGUGUGUUGAGGCCUUCUGAGACUCGCCAGUGAGGGGAGUGGAAGGACAGGAAGACGCCACAGCAUGUCACGUGGAUUGCACGUGGCGGGGACGCCCAGUGGUAAAAACCGUUCCGGUCACAGCCUGACAGGUCUUUGCCCUCACAGUGUUUCUUCCAGCCUUGCCUGAGGAGGGGGAAGCAGGAACAACAGGAAGAAGCAUGACAAUCCAAGUAUUCCUAGCGUCAAAACCCACAGGUGCGUAACCAAAAUAACCAGCCAUGCCCAGGGUCAAGCUCCAUCUGCAUCUGAGAUCCCAGGAGUCCAUCCUUUCACCUUGUUAAGACUUUUCUCUUCCCAGUUUUCUGCUAAUCAUUAUCGGCUUCAGCGACAAGUAAACAACUUUUGCAAAGAUGGGUCAUUUAAUUAAAUACCCACAUCUCUGAAAAUGCGGGUUCCCCACGUGCGUGGCCUGAGUGGCGAUGCUCACUAGAGUCGCAGGGCGGAGACGGCCGUGAGCACCAGCUGAGCAACGUCCCGUGCUCCACCCUGGGCACGCGCUCUGCCAAGUUGUCACCCAGCAGACAUGGUGAGUUUCUCUCACUGCUGGUUGGUCUCAUUCCCCAGAAAAUGUUGCUUGAACCCUCACAAUCUUAUCCAAUCCAGAGCAAACGCAAGCUUUCUUCCCUCUGGCAUAUGGACUGCUGUACUCUGUACAAUGCACGUUGGAAAGUGCCCUCUGCCCACCCUGUGGACACCUUCACGUGAAAAGCAAUUGCAAAUCAUCCUGACCCAGUCCCAUCUCUUCUCAUCCCUGCUACUGUUAACACGAGUUCACCGUGCACCCACACGCUGACAGAGGAGCAUGUAGGCAAAGUCACGUUCAAAUCGUAGGUCACUCUGCGAAGGUGAGUUUGUCAGCGGCCACCGUAGCUGCCAUGAAUGGACACACUGCAGCUUUUGCCCCUGCAGCCAAGGUCCCCCAGGGAAAGACUCUUACCAAUAGUUCAUCCCUUGCGUCUCUUUAACAAUUUUCUUGGCACAAAUAAUCGCGUCUGUGAGGUCGUCAGUGAUCAAAGCUGUAAAAGAGAGGAGUGUAAGGUUAGCUGAGACUUCAUUGCUGGAGGGGACCCCAAAUUAAGUUUUCUUCACUUCUCUCACUGUUUUUGGAAGAGCAAGGUUGGAAAGACUGUGACACGUUCUACAUAGUCAUAUUCUCAUUUUGAGAUUCUUUGCAAAUAAAAGAACUUUGUUUCAAGACCAUCCUCAUUUUGGACCAGCUGACGUUGCAGGGGAGUAGCCCAAGCAAUCCUGAAGGGUCUUUGGAAAUGUGUGUGGAGAAGGCACAGUGUGAGAAUGUUUUCUACAUCCCAAAGGAGUAUGCACCUAAGACAGGAGAGUAUAGUGUUUUUUUUCUCUGUUUGGCUUAGUUUCACAUAUAAAAUCUCUUUAUAGGUAAAUACUAAA